UACGGAGGGUGCGAGCGUUAAUCGGAAUUACUGGGCGUAAAGCGCACGCAGGCGGUUUGUUAAGCUAGAUGUGAAAGCCCCGGGCUCAACCUGGGAUGGUCAUUUAGAACUGGCAGACUAGAGUCUUGGAGAGGGGAGUGGAGUUCCAGGAGUAGCGGUGAAAUGCGUAGAUAUCUGGAGGAACAUCAGUGGCGAAGGCGACUCCCUGGCCAAAGACUGACGCUCAUGUGCGAAAGUGUGGGUAGCGAACAGG
rnacentral:rRNA from 1 species